rnacentral:rRNA from 1 species
UGAGGAAUAUUGGUCAAUGGGCGGGAGCCUGAACCAGCCAAGUAGCGUGAAGGACGACGGCCCUACGGGUUGUAAACUUCUUUUAUAAGGGAAUAAAGUUCGCCACGUGUGGUGUUUUGUAUGUACCUUAUGAAUAAGCAUCGGCUAAUUCCGUGCCAGCAGCCGCGGUAAUACGGAAGAUGCGAGCGUUAUCCGGAUUUAUUGGGUUUAAAGGGAGCGUAGGCGGGCUUUUAAGUCAGCGGUCAAAUGUCGUGGCUCAACCAUGUCAAGCCGUUGAAACUGUAAGCCUUGAGUCUGCACAGGGCACAUGGAAUUCGUGGUGUAGCGGUGAAAUGCUUAGAUAUCACGAAGAACUCCGAUCGCGAAGGCAUUGUGCCGGGGCAUAACUGACGCUGAGGCUCGAAAGUGCGGGUAUCAAACAGG